rnacentral:misc_RNA from 1 species
UUUCCGUAGGUGAACCUGCGGAAGGAUCAUUAACGAGUAAGAGUCAUUAUGGCCCGACAUCCAACCCCUUGUCUAUUUACAAUGUUGCUUUCGCGGGCCCGUUUCACGACCGCCGGAAGUACUCGUACUACUGGCCCGCGCUCGCCAAUAGCCUUCUACAAACUCUUGAUCAAUUGUGAUGUCUGAGUAAUAAAAUUAAUAGCUAAAACUUUCAACAACGGAUCUCUUGGUUCUG